GGGUGCGAUCAUACCAGNACUAAUCACCGGAUCCCAUCAGAACUCCACAGUUAAGCGUGCUUCGGCGAGAGUAGUACUUGGAUGGGUGACCUCUUGGGAAGUCCUCGUGUUGCACCCCUC
rnacentral:rRNA from 1 species